CACGUAGGGGGCGAGCGUUGUCCGGAUUUGAUUGGCGUAAAGAGCUCGUAGGCGGUCUGUCGCGUCGGAUGUGAAAGCCCGGGGCUUAACCCCGGGUCUGCAUUCGAUACGGGCAGACUAGAGUGUGGUAGGGAGAGUCGAAUUCCUGGUGUAGCGGUGAAAUGCGCAGAUAUCAGGAGGAACACCGGUGGCGAAGGCGGAUCUCUGGGCCAUUACUGACGCUGAGGAGCGAAAGCGUGGGGAGCGAACAGG
rnacentral:rRNA from 1 species